rnacentral:rRNA from 1 species
CUACAAUGGCGUAAACAAAGGGAAGCGAGACGGCGACGUUAAGCAAAUCCCAGAAAUAACGUCCCAGUUCGGAUUGUAGUCUGCAACCCGACUACAUGAAGCUGGAAUCGCUAGUAAUCGCGGAUCAGAAUGCCGCGGUGAAUACGUUCCCGGGUCUUGUACACACCGCCCGUCACACCAUGGGAGUCGGAAAUGCCCGAAGUCAGUGACCUAACCGAAAGGAAGGAGCUGCCGAAGGUGGAGCCGGUAACUGGGGUGAAGUCGUAACAAGGUACC